UUUGGCCUGGGUUGAUUAUAAUGAACCCAUCAACUUCCUUUUGCAGUUCUAUCAUUAUCCUAACAGUUUAUGAGCUUUUUCGCAUUAAACACUUUGAAUCAUUUCCAAUUUCAUGGGAAUGGUUAAUUCAAUUGGUGCAUAUCUAUUCUUAGGUAUACUUGCUAGAUAUCUGUAUGAUAAAGAUGUGGAUAUAACCUGUUUAUCAAAUGCUGUAUGCUGGAAGAUACUCAAGCUGAAUUCCACGUAUGAUAUUUUGAGUCAUCCUUGUCUUUCUUUUUUGACAAACUGUGUGGAAAUGCCCCUAGUUGCAUGUAGUAAGGAGCACUUUGUCGUGGUGAAAUUUUAAUUUAUUUGAG
rnacentral:lncRNA from 1 species